rnacentral:rRNA from 1 species
AUGAACGCUGGCGGCGUGCCUCAUACAUGCAAGUCGAGCGAACAGACGAGGAGCUUGCUCCUCUGACGUUAGCGGCGGACGGGUGAGUAACACGUGGAUAACCUACCUAUAAGACUGGGAUAACUUCGGGAAACCGGAGCUAAUACCGGAUAAUAUAUUGAACCGCAUGGUUCAAUAGUGAAAGACGGUUUUGCUGUCACUUAUAGAUGGAUCCGCGCCGCAUUAGCUAGUUGGUAAGGUAACGGCUUACCAAGGCAACGAUGCGUAGCCGACCUGAGAGGGUGAUCGGCCACACUGGAACUGAGACACGGUCCAGACUCCUACGGGAGGCAGCAGUAGGGAAUCUUCCGCAAUGGGCGAAAGCCUGACGGAGCAACGCCGCGUGAAUGAUGAAGGUCUUCGGAUCGUAAAACUCUGUUAUUAGGGAAGAACAAAUGUGUAAGUAACUAUGCACGUCUUGACGGUACCUAAUCAGAAAGCCACGGCUAACUACGU